rnacentral:lncRNA from 10 species
AAAUUCUAGUUACUUACUAAUUUUAACUUGAAAAGAGGCCUGGAACCAGGUGCCUUUAGAUAAUAGGGAAGCCUAAUUACGUCUAAAUUCCUCAGAGACAGGGGUUUUUGUCUCCGGAGGUCUGCUUGAUGGUCACCAGGAGAUUUUUGCUCUCCUCAAUUAACAUUUAAGAAUAUGGAGGAGCCAGGCACAGUGGCUCACACCUGUAAUCCCAGCACUUUGGAAGGGAGAGGCAGGCAGACGGCUUAAGCUCAAGAGUUUGAGAUCAGCAUGGGCAACAUGAUGAAACCCCAUCUCUACAAAAAACACAAAAAUCAGCUAGGUAUGAUGGCAUGCACCUGUAGUCCCAGCUACUGAGGAGGCUGAGGUGGGAAAAUAAAAAAGUGAAAUUAGCCAGGUGUAGUGGUGCUAGCUAGUGAUCCUAGCUACUCCGGGGGCUGAGGUGGAUGGCCUGAGCCCAGGAGGUCGAAGCUGCAGUGAGUCUAUAUCGCACCACUGCACUCCAGCCUGGGCAACACACCAAGACCCUGCCUCUCACAAAACAGAAAGAAUAUGGGAGAGGAGGGAUUUGUAACACUCAGGGCGAAGGUCCGCAGCUUCAUUCUUGAAGUCAGCGUAGACCACGAACCCACCGGAAGGAACCAUAUUCCGGACACACCAGGACCCUGGGUGUGUUGGGGCCCACAAUACCAUACUCCAAGAUGAAAGUCUCAGAAGCAGCUCCAGAAAUAAGUUUUUCUAUGACCUUCUGCCCUUUUGUCUCUGGCCCCUUGUUCCCCCACAGGCUAGCCAUAGAAACUAGAACCUUUCCCCAAGGCGAGCCAUAGGAAUCAGAGCCCCUUUUCCCCACAGCCAGCCAUAAAACCCCAAAAUAUUGCUCUAAUCCCACCCCCUUUCUGUGUAAAAACUGGUCAUAAAGAAAUUAACCUACCUUGUUUGACUGUGGGUCAUAAGAUCCCCAUUCCGGAGAGAGUCCUGCCCCACACCCAGAAAAAAAGGGACUGCUGCAGAGACAGGCCAAGAAGAAUCUACACAAACAGGCCUUGCUGGGUUCCCCCACUCGGGCUGUUAGCACUACAUCACACCCUUUUUGUCCAAUCAUAUUUCUAUACAG